AGAGUUUGAUCCUGGCUCAGGAUGAACGCUAGCGGCAGGCUUAACACAUGCAAGUCGAGGGGUAACGAUAUCUUCGGAUAGAUGACGACCGGGACGGGUGAGUAACGCGUAUGCAACCUACCUUUUACAGAGGAAUAGCCCAGAGAAAUUUGGAUUAAUACCUCAUAGUACUUUUAGAUCACAUGGUUUAAUAGUUAAAGCUUCGGCGGUAAAAGAUGGGCAUGCGUGACAUUAGAUUGUUGGCGGGGUAACGGCCCACCAAGUCUGCGAUGUCUAGGGGUUCUGAGAGGAUGAUCCCCCACACUGGUACUGAGACACGGACCAGACUCCUACGGGAGGCAGCAGUGAGGAAUAUUGGUCAAUGGGCGCAAGCCUGAACCAGCCAUCCCGCGUGAAGGAAGACUGCACUAUGGGUUGUAAACUUCUUUUAUGCACCAAGAAAUACCCCGACGUGUUGGGGCUUGACGGUAGUGUAGGAAUAAGCACCGGCUAACUCCGUGCCAGCAGCCGCGGUAAUACGGAGGGUGCAAGCGUUAUCCGGAUUUAUUGGGUUUAAAGGGUGCGCAGGCGGCUUUGUAAGUCAGUGGUGAAAUCCUGCCGCUUAACGGUAGAAUUGCCAUUGAUACUGGUUUUCUUGAGUAUAGUUGAGGUAGGCGGAAUGUGUAGUGUAGCGGUGAAAUGCAUAGAUAUUACACAGAACACCAAUUGCGAAGGCAGCUUACUAAACUAUAACUGACGCUGAUGCACGAAAGCGUGGGUAGCGAACAGGAUUAGAUACCCUGGUAGUCCACGCCGUAAACGAUGAUUACUCGUUGCAUGCAAUACACCGUAUGUGACUUAGCGAAAGCAUUAAGUAAUCCACCUGGGGAGUACGUUCGCAAGAAUGAAACUCAAAGGAAUUGACGGGGGCCCGCACAAGCGGAGGAACAUGUGGUUUAAUUCGAUGAUACGCGAGGAACCUUACCUGGACUUAAAUGUAGCUUGACCGGUUGAGAUAGUCUUUUUCUUCGGAACUACCUACAAGGUACUGCAUGGUUGUCGUCAGCUCGUGCCGUGAGGUGUCGGGUUAAGUCCCAUAACGAGCGCAACCCCUAUCGUUAGUUGCUAGCAGGUAAUGCUGAGGACUCUAGCGAGACUGCCACCGUAAGGUGAGAGGAAGGUGGGGAUGACGUCAAAUCAGCACGGCCCUUAUGCCCAGGGCUACACACGUGUUACAAUGGCCGGUACAGAGGGCAGCUACACAGCGAUGUGAUGCGAAUCCCCAAAGCCGGUCUCAGUUCGGAUCGGAGUCUGCAACUCGACUCCGUGAAGUUGGAUUCGCUAGUAAUCGUAUAUCAGCAAUGAUACGGUGAAUACGUUCCCGGGCCUUGUACACACCGCCCGUCAAGCCAUGGAAGCUGGGGGUACCUGAAGUCUGUAACCGUAAGGAGCGGCCUAGGGUAAAACUAGUAACUGGGGCUAAGUCGAAACAAGGUAGCCGUAA
rnacentral:rRNA from 1 species